rnacentral:lncRNA from 1 species
UCUUUUUAAUCCUAAUCCCGCGUGCUUGCAUCAACAGAUUACGAAGUCUUCUUUCCAUGAAAUUUGACUUUUGGUGAGCGAUGAGACGGAUGUAUGUUCUAAAGUCCCAAAACGGAAGUAUGUAGGGAAUGACUGUCAAUACGACGAUUCCUACAACGAAAUCCUUGUACGACCAUAAAUUUUGUAGAACUAUUCCAAGCGCAGCACAGAAGGCAAUCAUCAUGGACACUAAGGACAGGGAAAGGAAGUUAACCGCUGACAAUAUCAUGGCGGGCAAUCUUUCUAGGAAGUCUACUGGAGCAUAACGAUAUCCUAUAAGCUUAAUGUAUAUCCGUACUGUACUGAUAGAAGUCAAGAGAGAUAUUACAUCAGCUACAAUAAACACAAUAAACCGUUUUUCCUUUAUCAGAAUCGGCAUUCCAGUGUCUUGACGGAGACCCCCUGGGACAGUGAAGAUUGCAGUGAACAUGACAGUUAUAACGAGAACACCCACAAUUGCAAAUGUCCCCGCUGUUUCCUUUAUCCAUUUUUCUCCAUCUUUCAUCAGCUCCUUGUGUGUUUCCAUAAAUAUCUCUUCAGGCUUCUUACCCUCUUCAUUUUUUGCUUCUCUACAUUUGACAUGCACAACUUCCUCCACCUCCUGCACUCAUUUCAUCCACGUUAAUGCAUGCAUGGACUAUAUAUUACACUAGAGAGAGAAAAAACUAGUGAAGAUGAAUGCACCUUAAACCAUUCAAUUUCUAUUUUCAUUUGCCAAGCAGCAACGUCUCCGCGGUUCAUAUCAGACAAAGGUCCUAAGUGUGCCGCCAAGUGCAAUAGGUUAUUGCCAAACAUGUCUGUUCUAUAGUUGAUUAUAUCCUUAUUUCCACAGAGAAUAUGCAUGAGAAGGAACACAUUGUGUUUGCGAUGAAUAACCGCAUACGAAAAUAUGUCUCUUCCAUGAUCGUCCAUUGCCCAUAAGAGGUCAUGGUUAGCCUCCCUCAUAUCAUUUAUGAACUCAACAUUUCCAUAUUUUGCUGCUUCUAACAUGGCAUCAUAAACCAAAGCAUCUCGGAGUUGUGAACUAUUAAACUUAGAAACAUUAUUUUUAUAGUACCUUAAUAUUUGUAGAAAUUCAUUCUCGUGUUCAAAUAUACUCUCUCUAUUUUUGGAUUUCAGUCCAAAUAAAUUCCUUGCGAAUCCUGAAACAAUGGGAGGGAAAACAAAAUUACUUGUAUGAUUUGGUUUUACUAUCAAAAGACAUUUAGAAAUUUAAUAAUUUGAACUAACAAACAAUAUCUUAAUUAACCCUCCUUGAACUCUGUAGACAGAAUUUAUUGCAAUUAAUAAAUCUAAAUAGUUAUCGUUAGUGUAAUUUUAAAUCGAUUAUUACAUUUUUUUUAAGUUGUUUGAGUUUGUAUUUUUUUUUUUAAAUAAGAGUUUAAUACGAUAAUCCAAAUCGAUUUGGAAUUCAAAUCAAACAACGACAAAAAUAUCAUCACAUCUUUAAUUCUUAACCGACAUUAUUUUAAAAUCCAUAUCCACAUAAACGUUUCAAGUUUAUAAACUUUAAUCACAUUUAACAAACAUUAUUUUAAAUUUGAUUGACUCAACCAGUUUAACUCAAGAACACAUUAUCAAUUUAAUUUUAAUUAGACCCACUAAAUUAUAUCAAUUCAACCAAAUAUUCAACUUGGUAGGUUGAAUAGAGUUUGGUUAUACUCAUAAGUUAAAUUGUAUAAGUUACUGUAUUAUUAGUACGUAAAUUCAAAAUUGCUUGGUUUAGCAUCAUGUAAUAACAUAAUGAUUUAAAUAUUUUUAUUUCUUAUAAAAUUAUCCAAUUUUAACUUUAUACCUCAUAAAACAGCUUCAGACUUUCAUUUUCAAACAGUUAAUGCUUUUUAGAAUAUUGUUAUAUGUAGCAUUUGGUUGAUACUCUCUAAUACUAAUAUAUAUAUAUAUAUAUAUAUAUAUAUAUAUAUAUAUAUAUAUAUAUAUAUAUAUAUAUAUAUAUAUACACACACAACACAUGUAGUAAUUUUUAUGUGUUUUUCAAUCAAUUUUAGACACUCGUUCCAAAACAGAGACAUACCUUGUUAUUUAAAAUUAAUGAUUUUAAUUUAACUUUCNAAAUUAAUANUUUUACGCGUNAAAAUUCGUUUAAAUCACUUAUAGAUACAUAUUUACAUGUAUGCGAUCCUAUGUAAAUAUGUGAUAAACGCAACCAGAUGAAUCAAAGGACAAAGCAAUACUUACCCAUCAACUUUUCAGUCAUGAGCAUCAUUAUCAAAAUCACAUCGAUUAAAUUACCUGAAAGAACCAUAAGAAGUUUAAGUCAGUCGCAUAUCUUUUACUUUCUGCUUUACAAUUAUUUUAGCUUAUGUAUGACAUACAUAUUUGCAUAAUUAAGUGAGUUAUGAAAUAUAACACUUACAAUAUUAUACUUAAAAUAUAUAUUUUUUAUGUUGAAAAGAGCAGCUAACUUGAAAAACUAAUAAUUACUUUCAUAUUUGAAUUAUAUUACAAGUAAUUAUUUGUGUAGAGUAAUAUUCAAAAAUCUUAGACUCAUUUGUAAAAUAUGUUCCAAGGUUUCAAUUUCUAUCAAUACUUUUCUCUACAUACUCUGAAGUAUUUAACCUUAUGAUUGGAUGCAAUUAAACUCAAACUUAUGUAACUUAUUUUGUGUUUGCUGCGUGUGUGAAAUUGUUUACUUUUUUUUAUUCAAAUGCUAACUUUUUUGAUCUAGAACUUCUUGGGGAAAAAAAUAGUAGAAAUUACACUAGGAAUAAGUUAAUUGAUAUUAGUUUUUUUUCAAUUGUUGAUUUAAAGAAUAUUUUGUUUUAAUUAUGAAAUAGAUUAUAUUGUAAUAAGUUAGGUUCAGUAUUUGAAUGCAUAAAAUUGAUCUCAUAGUUAAAAUUCUAUUUCAAUUAUAACUUUUCAUUUUUAAAUACACCAUUCUAAUUUAUUGAUUAAUAUAUAAUGUUUCAUUAGUUAUUAAAGAGAUUAUGAAAAGUAAAAAUUCCUAUGGAUUGGAUGCUUUCUUCCAAAAAAAAAAACAUAAUUGAGUGGCUAAUUAAUGCUAGAGAAAAAAAGAAAGCAUUAGGUAAAAAAGAGGGAAAUCUUACCCUUUUUAAAAAUGUAAAUUACUGUCUGCCAAAGGUCAGCCUGUAAAUAUGCAGAAGGCAUUCGAGCCAAUUCAUGCAAGACGGAUAAGAAUUCAAUGGGCAGUUCCCCGUAAGAUUCAAGCAAUUUCGAAGCCACAUCUACGAGUUCAAACAUGCUAUCAAUCUAAUAAAUAAAUAAAUAAAUAUAUAUAUAUAUAUAUAUAUAUAUAUAUAUAUAUAUAUAUAUAUUUAUUAGGUAAAUUAAAAGAGCAUUGAAGUGGUGAAGGAGGGGAAGAGAAUGAAGGAAACAGAGUAUAUGAAUGUGUGGUUGAUUUGCUUACCGAAUAUAUGCGCUUGGAUGCAUCGUUUCAGCAGCAAAACUCGAUUAUGUGAAGACUGGUGAUGAAUGACAUGGGAAGAACUUCUAAAGUAAAGGUAACGAGUCAUUCUUUUGCGUCCUGAAUUAGCAGCCAUAAGAAGAGGGAUCUCACCCUCUUUGUUCUCUAUACCAAGCAAUUCUUCGCCACCUUCCACAUUUACCAUACUUCUUGCUAUAUUAACAUUUUCAGUGUAACCAGCAGCAAGAGCAAGAGCAGUAUUACCAUCCUCAUCCUGCAUUUUUACUAAUUGUUUUUUCCCUAAGUACACUAAUCCCUCCACAAUAUUCUUAUGUCCUUCUAUUGUUGCAACAUGAAGAACCGUCCUACCUGAAGGCAGAGUCCAAAAUAUGGCAUUCGGUUGAUCCCUCAAGUAUGAGCUUGUGCCUUCCCAAUCACCGUUUUCCACAAACUUGUAUAGAGCUUUGUGCUCACUGACGUCGGAUACAACAACUGUGUGUAUCUCAUUCACAUUAAAACAUAAAUAAUAUUUUGAGCUAAUAUUAUUUGUAAAUAUAUACUUUAUAUAAAGAAAAUUUGAAGAUGAAUCUAAACACUUAGUACCUGGUCGAAUAUGCGGUUGGAUUUUAAACUUAGGCCUGCAAACUUCAGCCAAGUGUUUCCAAGCUAUGUGGGCAGUUUGAAAGUGUUUAAUUUGAUCAAAAAUAUUUGGUGCACAUGAUAGUUGAAUGAUAUGCAGAGCCUUUGCGUCUCUCUGUUCAUCAAUGGAUGUCGAAACAGAGCCACUUUCCACAACAUCCCACAGAUUUUCCCCUCUCAGGUAAUUUUUCAUUAGAAUUUUCCAUUCUUGAUAGUUGUAUCUUGUGAGCUCUUCACGAACUAUUCCGCGCGAUGCAACACAAAUGCUUUCCAUUACACUUCCUUGCCUUUCCUUGUUUCACAUAUAGACAAGAACAUAAUUCUCUUUUUAGUUGUUAGUAUGCUGAAUUGUCCAAGGGAAGGAUAUUUUUGUACAUUUCUCAAAAUUGACUUUUUAUUCCUCUGAAGACUUGGUAAAUUUCAAAUAAUUUGAAUUUUGGUUGUACCAAACACUCCAUAAAGAAAAUCUAGUGUUUCUCUAUGGAUUUUGUAUCUUAUUUGUAUUUUGUUAUCUCCUUUAAGUUUAUGAAAAUUAAAAAAUAGAUUAAAAAUAUUAUUUUGAUUUAUGAAAUUGAAUGAUUUUUGCUCAUAAAAAUAAUUUAAAAUAAAUGUAAUCAGAAUAAGUUAUAUGUUUAAUAUUAUUUAUUAUUAUUUAAGUGUAUUUAGUACUAUUAUUAUAUUACAUUUGUUUACAUAGGUUAAGGUUAAAUGCAAAUCUAUUACGAUUUCACAAUCUACAUGAGUGUUUAGUGAAUAUUCUAUAUUUUAAUAACGUACAUUACGCUUUGAAUUCAUAUAUAUUUUAGUUUAAUUUAUGUUAACAUGUAUAAAUGUGCGUGUCAGUGUUCAUAUAAAUAUAGAUAAAAAAUGUUUCAACGAAAUCCAAUAUAAGAAAGCAUUUGAUAAUUUGUUGUACUGCUCCCUCCUGUGCUGAUUGAAGGUUCACAUUGCUAAUAAAAUUUACUAUCCUUACCAAUGACGCAGACAUAUAUUUUAAUUUAUUUUAUAUUAAAGCAAGCAUGACUGAUUGUGCUCCCUGUUCACACUAAUGUGGUCCAGAAAGAAAGUAUUCAUACUAAUAUAGUAUAGUACAAAAAUGCUACAGUAAGUAAUAAAUGUCCCAUUGAAAGCUUUAUUUCAGGAACACAUCUCAAAGAAUUCCAAAACAAAAAUCACAUAUUUCAAAAAUCGCAAAAGGACAAGAUAAAAAUACAAUUGUAAUAUCAAAAUAUGAAUUAAAAAACAAAAUUUCAAUUCGAAAGCCUUAACCCCAAAUUGCAGUAACAAUUUGCAGAGGAGAAAUAAGACAUAACAAAUUUUCAAAUUAAAAUUUGUAAUUCUAAAUUAAAAUUCUAAAAUUCUCAAAUUACAAGAUCACAAAAAACUUUACUUAGUGUACCAUUCACUACAGAGAAAACAAAACAAAAACUCAAUCCAAGAAAGCAAAUCCAAUGUUAUGAGAUCAAAAUCUCAAAUGUAGAAUUCCGAUUAAAAACUUUGAUACGAAUAAAACCAGAUUAAGAGGAAGGAAAGAAGAAAGAUUCCUUGAGAUGCUAACCCAGAAACAAAGGAGAAGAAAGAAAGGAGGAGACAGUCUUCUUACGCGACGAAAACCCAUCCUAUUGGAUUUGUUCGAGAAAAAAGUAGUCUCAAAAAUGGAAUUCAAGAGUCUCUAUAACUCUAAUUAAAGUAAAUGAUAAUUCAUCUAUGCUUGUCACAAAGAAUAAUUGAACAGGUCAUUCAAUAUUAGUUAAAGUAGAAAUUAGACUCUUAACAUUUUUAACGCGAUGAAAAAAUUACAAAACAUAGAAUUAUCCCGAACAAUUCAAAAUAUAAAAGGAUCACUUUAAAUACAACUAACAAAUAAAAUUGAUAUUAAGCCUUAAACAAUUAAGCCGUACUUGUAAAAGAAAUAUAUCUAAAAAGUUAUCAUAUUAGCUGUUGUUUUUGUUUUAAUAAUAAUUUUUUUAAUACGAAAUAAAAAUAUGAAGACCAACUAAUCCACUUGAUUAAGAAAGGUUUUCACGUUUGCCAUCUGUUUCCCAUGUAUAGAAAAGAUUAGUCAAUAGAAGAUAAGUCUUUGAUAUUUUUAUACAAAUUUUUAAUUGGUUUGACCCGUCAAAUAUGGAUCAUAGUUCCUUUUUUAUUGGUAGUUCUCAGGAAAAUAAAGGGUCAUCUAAAAGCAAAUGGAGCAGAAAUUCAAUAAAGAAAUAAGAGAGAAGAAGAAAGAUAAAAUAUAUAUAAAAAAAUUGAAUAUGGAAUAAAAGAGACGGGGAGAUUUCAUAUUAACCAUAAAUAUAUGAGUUUAUAUAACAUGUAAGUGAAGAUAAAUUUAUUUUACAAAUUGAUGUUGUAAAAUUAAAUUAAAAAGUUGAAUUGGAUUUAAAUUUUACAUUUUAACAUAGUAUUAAAAUAAAUAAAAAAAGUUAUGCUAAAAGCUCUUUUGUAAUAAUUUCAAAAUAAUUUUAACUUAAAGUUUUUAAAUGUUUUAUUGUAUCACUUUUGAUUAACAUAAUAUUAUUUUUUUAUUAGAAUUUAAUAAAAUACUCUUUUGUUUUUCUUACAAUGAGACUGAAUAACUUAGACACUUUCUAGGAAUUUAAUGAAGUAAGUCUCCUUAGUCCUUCAUUUCAAUUGAUAUCCCAAACAGGUUACGUAUAUCUUAACCUCGCAAGAGGCCUGGUCAUAACUUGGAAUGAUCAGGAUAAACUGAGCAGCCACAUCUACCUUGUUGGCAGCAUCCAUUUCUAAUGCAAUGUCGACCUCAGUAUCAUUGGUAGGUGAGAUCUUAUUUUUACCUACAUUGAUGACAUAAUUUGUGUCCUGCUUAGUUGAUUCUAAAACAAAAAACACGAUGGACAAUGACAUUGACAAUGAAGAAGCAUCGUCUACGUAUCCUCGACUGCUCUUUCCCUCAAACUCCUUAGACAAAGAUAAUUCAACGCUCGAUCUUAUUACCUGGAAUGUGAAGAACAAUUGGUUGACAAAAGAAAGUAGGAAAGCAAAGGUGAAUAUGACAGGUGGAGCCCAUCCUUAUUUAUAGCCAAGAAGGCCUUCCCAGUCAGUUACCUUCGGUUAUGGGAUCAAGCUAGAUCCAACGACUCACAAUAUUUGACUCUUCAAAUUUUGAUGGACAUGAGAUUUGAAGUGUCACGUGCCCUUUAGUCAUAUUUUCAAACAAUUCUAAAGGUCUUCAACCGGCUAGCCGAACAGUCUUGAAGCUUCCCAAGCAAACAACCAAAUAUCUUAAUUACCCUCGAACGACACAAACGAAGAGUCUUAUUCAUCCAAUUACAAAUCCCUUCGCUAGCCAUUUCAGGCUCAAGCUUGGAGGGCUUGUGUACCGUAUGAUAGCCCGAUCAUCUACAAACCGAACGGUCAACCUUACAACAAAUUGUGAGCGAGUCAUCAAUAAGGUCAAACGGUUAGGAAGGUUAACUGCUCAUAAUUACCCACAAUUGGACCAUAAUUAGGUUGUUGUUAAUUAAAGGCCCACUCUAAAAUCUAUAAAUAUAGGUUUAAGAUAAGGGAGUAGGUUAUCUAUAUUUACUACACUAUUAAUAUUUGAACUGCCAAAGUUGAUUUGACUUUGACAUUAGAACGUCUUCUCCGAGUACCCUCUUAUUGGCUUGGACGAAUGGUUACGAGAGGACUCGGAGUUGAAGACAACUUUCAAACCCCUGAACGACUUACUUGACGUUAGAUUGUUGACCUCAAUCCUACACCUCGAAACAAAUAAUAUUCUCUCUCAGAAGUUGUGGAUUUUUGUGGGAAGAAACACUUCUAAGAUCCAAGAGUUAAUAAUAUAAGGGAUGUUAUAUUCGCACUCUCACAUUUUUAUAUUCUCAUUUGACAACUCUAAAUUUUAUUUCAAAAUUUUGCUUUUAUUUAUUGUUAUAUGUUAAAUAUAGUAUUUUAUUAUUAAAAAGGAUUGUAAAAUGAAAAUAAGAGAAAAUAAUGGUGUGAAAAUGUAAAUGUGAUAAUCAACAAACAUGUGGACAACUAUACAACAAAUAUAUUACAACCAUCCACAAAACAUAUAUUGAGUAUAUAGAGUUAUAUAACAUAAACUAUCCUAAACUAUGCUGCAUUGUCCUCAUCAUGCACUGGAUCAAUUAAAACAUCUUGAUAUGCUCACACCAUUUAGAUGAUCAUUGCAAAUAAAAACAGAACAUACAAAAAAAAAAAAAAAACAAAUGAAAGGGUAAGCUAAUGCACCAAAAAGAAAGAUCAUACAUGUAUAAAGUUUUAAGACAAGAUCGUCUAAGCAAACAUUGUUUUAAAGUUUAACAAAACCUUUAAACGAAAUAAUGUUUAAUCGCUUGAAUCAUCUAGGAUAAAAAGCGCUAAGCGUUAUAACUUAAAUAUCCAAAACGCUAUAAGGAACUCUAACAUAGCGUCUAAUCUAAAUAACGUCUAACAAAAGCUUAAACCGACUAGGAUAAAAGUAAAGAGCAUUAAACACUAUAUAUUAAAAUUAUCAUAAAUGAUGUAAGUUACUUAAAUAGACAACGCCUAAACAAUAGUGUACUUAUUAUGCUUAAACACUUAGGAUCGUCUAACGCUUUAAAGCAUGUACAUUCUAGUACUUCUUUGUCUGGUGUGUUGUGCUCUCUUUUUCUUUGCAGAUCACUACCUUUAUUCAAAAGCUUACACAAGAUCAAAAUAAAGUUAAGAGAUAAGAAGAUAUUCAAGGAAUGUUUCCUUCACGCUUUCUAUCUAUCCUUUUCCUACACAUAACAGAUUUACUCUGCCAAGACGCAACAUAACUUCUAACUCAAUACUAUAAAGGCUAUACUUCUAGAAGAAGGUCAAAGCUCAAAGUAACAGAUCCUUUUUGAAGAAGUCCAUAUGAAGAACACUACAUGAAUAGGAGAGAAUUAUUAUUAUUAUUAUUAUUAUUAUUAUUAUUAUUAUUAUUGAAUACGCUCACGUUGUCUCUCUUUAAGCUCUGUCUCUCAGAGUUGUUCUUUGAAAAGAAAAGUUCUUUACAAGCUUUCAUAAUUUUAUUGUAUUGAUUUCAAAUCUUCUCUACAAGAGUUACACAUUUUGUUCUUGUAAUUUGUAAAACACUUUGUUGCUUUUUUGUUCAGAAGUGAAGUAAAACACUUAUAAGAUUAACUCAAUGGAGUUAGACCAUCUAGUCAGUUAGAUUAGUUGAUACCAAGAGUGGUUAUACUCAUUUUAAUCAGUGGGUUAGUUGUAUACCAGGAUUGGUUAUACUAGUUCAAACUAGUAGGUUAGUUGUAUUCUAGAAGUGGUUAAACUUGUUGUAAUCAUUUGUGAUUAGUUGAACCCAUUAAAGGUAUUUAAGGGAUAAUUGGACAUAAUUAAGUUUGGAGCAAACCAGUAUAAAAACACGUGUGCCUUAUUGUUUUUGCUUUUCAAAGGUUUUCCAUAAACGUUGUUUUAUAAACUUAAGUGUUUAACAAUUGUUGCAUACCGUUUAACCCCUCUAAAGGAAAUUAAACAUUUAUUUGCAAAAAGAUUUAAAACUCUAUUCAACUCCCGUCCCCCCUUUCUAGAGUUUUCCCAUGUUAUAGUUAAUAUCAGAACUAACCUCAAAGGUUAGUUCUUGACAAAACAUAUGGAAAAUAUCCUUUCAACAAUGGAAAAUGAAGGCUACGAUUUUAACCGUCCUCCUUUGUUUAAAAAGGAAAAGUUUGACUAUUGGAAGCAAAUAAUGACAACAUUAUUUGAGUCCUAUCAUAUAGACAUGUGGCAUAUAGUCGAAAAUUGAAACUGCAUACCCCUUAAUGAAAAAGGUGAGUUAUUGGACAAAAGCAAAUGGUCAGAUGAUCAAAAGCAAAGAUAUCUUCUUAAGUCCAAAGCUCGUAAUUCACUAAUGUUCACUUUAUUUGAAGAAGAAUAUAAGAAAUUCAGGCAUUCAAAGGAGCUAAGGGGAUGUGAGCGCACGCUUGUCAUCAUAUAUGAUGGAUCCAACGAAGUCAAAAGGAACAAUAUGAUUCUAUUGACCAGACUAUACAAGUUGUUCUCCAUGAUAGACAAUUAGAACAUUCAAGCUAUGUUCAGCAGAUUACAGAUCAUCCUCAACGAGUUACGAUCUUUAGGUAAGGUCUAUAAUAACUUUGAUAAUAUUCACAAAAUUUUGCACAGCCUCCCAAGGCAAUGGAGACUGCAAGUCACAACUCUGAGAACCUUCAAGAACCUUGAUGGUUUAAGUCUAGAAGAGCUGGUUAGGAUCUUGAAAGUUCACGAGCUUGAGCUACAACAAGAUAACAUGUUGAGAAAAGAUAAAAGCAUCACUCUCAAGGCUCAAAGACUACUAAGAAGGACUUCUACAAAGGCCUUCAAAGUUGAAGAACCUUUUGAAGAAUCCAAUGACGAAGAAGAUGAAGAUGAACUAUCAUUCAUCUCUAGGAAAAUACAUUAAUUCCAUGUGGAAAAAGAAAAGACAUAACCAUUUAGAGGAAGACAUGUCUGGUCUACCUCAAGAAAUUAGCCAAAGGACAAAUGGAAGGAUGGAUAAGUUGGUGCUUACGUCACAUGACGGGAGUAAAGUCUAUGUUCUAAAGCCUCAAGAGCAAGAAAGGAGGAACGGUGACCUUCGGAGAAAAAAAAAGAAUAAUCAACAUUGGAAAGUUAGGUAUAAACCAUUCCAUCUUUAUUGGUAAUGUAUUAUUAGUAGAUGGCUCUAAACAUAAUAUGCUUAGCAUAAGUCAACUAUGUGAUAUCAGAUAUAUAUUUUGUUUUUUUUUGAAAAAGGUCAAUCUCCUAGACAAAAAAGGUAUACUAGUGUUUUAUGCUAAUAGACAAGGAAACUUGUACAAGAUAGAUCUAAAUGGAUUGCACGCUCAAAGCGUUUCAUGUCUAGUAUCUAUAAAGACCGAGGAAAUGAUAAGACAUAAUCAGUAUGGAUAUGUAAAUAUGAGAUUAAUCUCCACUACAAGAAAAAUGAAAAUUACCUAUUGAUAUUUACAUGUGGAUUUUGAUUUGUAGGUAACAUAUGUAUUACAUACUGAUUUUACAUAUGGGUCUUGAAAAAUGAGUUACAUAUGAAUUUUGUAUUUAAUGUUGGCGUGUUUAGACAAGAAUUUUAUCUAAGGAUAUUUUCCGUUUGUAAAUAAUUAAAAUCCAUAUGUAAUCCAAAAUAACAUUACCUAGUAUAUUACAUAUAGAUAUUUAUAAUUAAUUAUUAAAAGUAAUAGUAAAACUUUAAUUUUCAUUUUCUCCCUCCCUCACAUCUUCGCAACCUCAGUCCCUACCACUGUCGCUCCUUGGUUUGCAAAACGUUGUCAGGUUGUGCAAACUGUUAAGAAGUGGACUUUAAGCGUAACUCAACCUUUACAAAACCAGCUUAUGAGGUGAGGUUUGCACCCACAUAUAUACUAUAAAUUGACCUUAUCUGUAGUCAAUGUGGAACUUCCAUCACAGCUCCUCACGUCAAGNNNNNNNNNNNNNNNNNNNNNNNNNNNNNNNNNNNNNNNNNNNNNNNNNNNNNNNNNNNNNNNNNNNNNNNNNNNNNNNNNNNNNNNNNNNNNNNNNNNNNNNNNNNNNNNNNNNNNNNNNNNNNNNNNNNNNNNNNNNNNNNNNNNNNNNNNNNNNNNNNNNNNNNNNNNNNNNNNNNNNNNNNNNNNNNNNNNNNNNNNNNNNNNNNNNNNNNNNNNNNNNNNNNNNNNNNNNNNNNNNNNNNNNNNNNNNNNNNNNNNNNNNNNNNNNNNNNNNNNNNNNNNNNNNNNNNNNNNNNNNNNNNNNNNNNNNNNNNNNNNNNNNNNNNNNNNNNNNNNNNNNNNNNNNNNNNNNNNNNNNNNNNNNNNNNNNNNNNNNNNNNNNNNNNNNNNNNNNNNNNNNNNNNNNNNNNNNNNNNNNNNNNNNNNNNNNNNNNNNNNNNNNNNNNNNNNNNNNNNNNNNNNNNNNNNNNNNNNNNNNNNNNNNNNNNNNNNNNNNNNNNNNNNNNNNNNNNGUGGAACUUCCAUCACAGCUCCUCACGUCAAGGUAUAUACAUCUCGAGCAUGAGAUUAGACAUUAAUGGGUGGUCUGAUAAUGGCUCAAUAGCGGGUGGAACAAUAUGUCCAAAAAAAUCUCGCUAGGAUAGACUCUAACGUGACUAUGAUACCAUGUUAAUAAGUGGACUUUAAGCCUAACUCAACCUCACAAAACCGACUUAUAAGAUGAGGUUUACACCCACUUAUAUAUUAUAAAUUGAUCUUAUCUCAAGUUAAUGUAAAACUUCCAACACAAACUUUAUGUUUUCUUGUCCCAAAUAGGAAUAAGUUAAGGUUCUUAUUUUCUCUCUCUUUCUCUUCUAUUCUCCAAAAAAUCGUUAUUUUGCGUUUCUAUUAUCUUUCUCUGCACCUAAGUUGUUACCUUAUGUUUUGUCUUUCUCGCGGUUGAAUUGCAGAGUGAUAUAUGGAAAUGGUUCAUGAAAUCACAUGACAAGGACAACCUCCCUUGAAGCCUUCCAAUCAAUCCAAGCCUUCUUCGGAUAAAUCCUAGUUCGAUAAAAAUGUGAGUGUUCUGCUGCUGUAUGUUUAAUUUUAUUUUAUUUUAUUGUUUUUUUUUUCAUUUAUAAAUACAAACCUUCUUGUGAGUUUUGAAGUCAUAGUGUAAGUUUAGUUUUUGUUUCCAAUGGUUUAAUGGAAAUGUGGGCAUGCAUGGGAAAAAAAUAAUGGAAUUUGAAGAAUGCGAAAAUUUGAAUAACAAUACCGUUUUGGGAUACCUUUUUUUGUUGCGGGUUUGUUUGCAUGUGUAAGUAAUGGAUAAAAGCAAACUUUUUAUUUAGUUGCUUUGUUUAUUUUUUUCGCGUGUUUCUAUCUUUUCCGGCUAAAUAUUGUUGUAGGUUUCGUCGAGUCUUGGCGAAUCAGAGAAUUAAUUAUUAUCACUUGGGAUGGUAGGGUUUUUCAAUGUUUAAAAAAUUGUUGAAGGAAAGGGAAAAUGAUUAGUAAAGAAAAAGAGUGAAUAAGGUGGUGGGAGAUGUAGAGGAAGUGGUAGAGGUGGAUUCAUGAAUUUUGGAGAAAGAUAGAAGCCCCUACACAAAGGAGAAAAAAGGUUAAGAUUUAUCAAGCAUUUAGAUCUUUUGAUUUUUUUUUUAAUUUUUGUCAAUGAAUGUUGACAAGGUAUAUUUUUUAUGUUUUUUAUUGUGCUUACUUCUUGGCUACUAUUUAUCAAGAUUAUUUUUACAUGAUUUUAUUCUACUUUGUCUUUUCUUAAAAGUAAAACAUUAAAGGAAUCAUUGUUAUUUAGGAAAUAGUUUCUUCUCCGAGGUCUGGUCCAAAAUCUACUUCCCAAAGCAAAUUUGAAAAGGAAACUUACUUUAGGUAAAGGAAAAUUUAUGUAUCUCGUUUUGUGUGAACUUUUAAAUUGUUAUUUUGAUAUGAUAAGGUUAUAUUCGUUGGGGAACUGUUUUCUUUGGAAAAAGGCUUUUAUCUGGCAUGUUCCAGAAUUUCAUUAUCUUCUUGCAUUGAUUUCCAAUUACUUGGAUGUUGCAUUAGGAGUUAUGAUACGAAGGAACAUGGUGAAAACCUUGUCAGUUUACGGGUCAAAGUUUGGUGGCCUAAGGAUCAUGAGUAAGUACUUGACAUGUCUUCAAAUUUUCAUAUGUUGUCACUGUAAAUUGUUUUAAGAAGCAGCAAGAAAGUGGUUCGUAUGGUUUUACAAAGUUAAGGUCACCAUUCAUAUCUCCAGCCUCAUGUCAACACUUAAUUUCUCUUCUCAAGCAAAGAUCCAACUGUUUUCUUGUGUCCCCAUCAUUAGGGACGUCACUUCCACACGGGUAAUCAAGAUCGUUAGAACUCUUCUCUCUGGUUUCAUUUCUACUCAAUUCCUUAUAUUCUUCCGCUGCUUAUGUGACAGUAAUGAUUGAUCGAAGCUGCUUGGAAUUUUUCUCACCUGUACGUUUCUCCUCAGUAGCUUCAUAAUUAUUUUCACUACUACAAGAAGAUGAACUCCUAGUCCUGUAUAUAUUUUUAUAGCUUGUUUACCUUUUUCAGCCUUACUUGAUAAAUGUCUUAUUCUCUUUAGUCCUUUUCAAGUUUGAGUGUAUCUAACUUGUAUUUGCAUUACAAGUUUGACUAAUUCAUAGCCUGUGUUGUCAGCAAGGACUUAUGUGUUCAAGUUGAUAGAUUUAUUUUUUUAUUUUAUUGAAACUCAAUCUGCACUGUACUUUUCAACUGAAUGCCCCACUCAUUUUAGGCAAAGCUAUUGAUAAAACUUUCACUGCAUGAUUAAAUGGUUGUUGUUUCUGAAUUUCUUUUUUCUUGUGUUCAACCACCCAAGUGCUCUUGUAUCCAAUGCUCUACUCGUGGUUAUAUUUUCUGUAGUAAAUUGAACUACAUAUCAGUGUAUCUAAUUUGUCAAAUAUACAGGGCUGAAUAUAAUCCAGAUCGGUACCUAUGGGAAAAGGGAUUGACCCUUUGUAGGAAGAACAUACCAAUGACAUGAUUUGGAGGCAAGUAUGGACAUAGUUUUUUUUAGAUUCAACUACUAUUAUCCACUUUUAGAAGUUAAUUACAAUUUAAUGCACAUUUUUAUAACUAGAUAUAUAUUUUUUUUUCUUAUAAACCCUAUAGCUCAAGAAUUCCAGAGGUUAUACCUGGCAGUGUAGCCAUUUAUUGCAGUGUACUCAUUAUCUACGUUUACCUUUGCCUGAAGAUAUUUCUCUUCCUUGUGUUAUAUAUUGUCAUGGAAACAGGUAAGUCAACUUUUAGGAAUACUGUUAUCACUAUAAUAUAUAUUAAGAAAAUGUUUUAGGAUUGUUUUAUUUUUAAUUUAACUGAGUCAAAGUCUUUUUCUUAUUUUUAUAGGAUUUAGUUAAUUUUUUAAUUAUGUGUUGGAGUAGUGAAUUAAAAUUAGGAUAAAAGUGUUAUUGUGUAGUUACUUUUUCAAAUUUUAAAUGCUGUAACAUUUCUCAUUAUUUCAAAUAAUACAGAAGUAUUUAGCUUCAAGCAUGCUAUUAUUUUGCUUAUAAAAACCAACAAUUGGUAUCAAGAGUCUUCUUCUUCAUGGACCUAUGAGAGAAAAAUCUAAAAGCAUGGAAGGAGAUUCAAGUUUUUCAGCAAUAGCACCAUUAGUCUUUGAUGAGUGCAUAUUUAUGCUCACAUUUUAUAUUUAAUUAUAAAAUUUUAGAGAAAAAGUUGUGCUUAAAUGAUUGAUUUGAAUAAGAUUUGUGAUGAUUGGCUUUAUUGGGUUUGGAAAUUAAAGAGGCUUAAAAUGUAAUUUUAGUUGCAUAAAUUAUUUUGGAUAGUCUAAUGUUUGUUAAUGCAGCUGGAAUUAAAAUUUGAAUUGCAAUUUUGAAAAGAAAGAAAAGGCUAAAGUGCAAUUAGAGGAAAUUUUUGGACUUCUGUGCAAUUUUGAAUAAAAUAAUAAGGGUUGAAAUGUAAUUUUGGGCAAGUUUAAAUCUGUUAGAUAUUUUAAAAGAAAAUUUGGAGAAAAUAUAUCUUAAGAUAUUUUAUUUGAUAUUGUUAAAUAAUUACCUUAUUUAACUAUAUCAAUAAAUAUCAAUAGAUAAUAUUUGCCAAAUCUUUUUGAAUCUAGAAAAGAUAUUAUCAAAUAUUCUCAAAAACCGAAUAAAUUUGUUGAAUAUUUGGAAGAUAUUAGAUAUAAGAUAAAAAAUCUUAUCAACAUGAUUUGAUAAGAUGGGAUUAUCUAAAGUCAACCAAAGCCAUAUGGGAUUAUCUUAAAGAAGAAUACGAUGGAGAUGAUCGAAUCAAAGGCAUGCAGGUGUUGAAUCUCAUUAGAGACUUUGAAUUGCAGAAGAUAAAGGAAUAUGAAACUAUCAAGGAGUACUAUGAGAGGCUUCUGAACAUAAACAUUGGUUCUGAAUUUAAGGACUCUUGUGUUGUUGAAAAAAUUUUGGUUACCAUGCUUGAAAGAUUUGAAAAUAUAUCGUAACCAUGUUAGAAAACACUAAGGAUCUGCCCAAGAUCACCUUGGCAGAGUUGCUGAAUUCCUUGUAGGCAGAAGAACAACGAAGGGCUAUAAGAGAAGAAGGCUUUCUUGAGGAAGCCUUGCCUGCUAAACAUGAAGACAAUUGGAAAAACAAAAAGAGGAACCAUCACCCAAAUAGGAUGCUCUAAGGGAAAGUAUCCUCCUUGCAAGCAUUGCAAUGGGUCAUCCUCCAUUUAAGUGUUGGAGAAGGUUUGAAGCUAAAUGCAACAAGUUCAAUCAACUUGGGCAUGAAACUGUCAUAUGCAAGAACCAAACUUAGCAGCAAGAAGAAGAUGCUCAAAUUACAAAUGAAGAAGAAGAAGAUCCGCUUUUUGUUGCAACCAAUUAUUUAACUAAUGCUUCAAGAUAAUCUUGGCUAAUUGAUAGUGGUUGUACUAACCACAUGACCUUUGACAAGGCACUCUUUAGAGAUAUAAGGCCAACUGAUGUCACCAAAGUUAAAAUAGGCAAUGAUGAUUAUAUCUUAGUCAAAGGAAAGGGGACGAUUGCAAUUACAAGUUGUGCAUGCACAAAAUUUAUUCUAGACGUUUUUUUCAUUCCUAAAAUUGAUCAAAAUUUGUUAAGUGUUGGUCAAUUGAUUGAAAGAGGAUUUAGAGUUGUUUUUGAAGACAAAAAUUUGUUGAUUAAAGACACAGUUGGUCAAAGGUAAAAAAUGAAAGGGAAAAGCUUUGCUCUAAAUCCAUUGGAGGAGCAAGUUGUUUUUUCACUCAAGGAAAAUGCGACAGAAAUCUGGCACAAGAGGCUUAGACAUCCUCAUCAUAUGUUGGGUGCAAAGAGUUUCUCUUGCUUUGCAACAAUGGUUGCAACAUUUGUUUUGAUCCUUCUCAAUAUGGUUGUGGUUUGCCACGGAGGCAAAAAAAGUUCUUUCAUCAGAAAGGUCGAUAGGGCUGAGGACAUGCUCCUUCACAGUGAUGUAUUUGUUGCCCCUUCUAGAUUAAAUGCUCCUCAGCAGGUUCAUAUAACAAUGGGUGACCACGUGGGAAGGACCAUGAUCAUAUUAUGGGUGACCAUGGACGAACCAGAAAACAAUUUAGUAAGUUAUUGGAGCGAGGACUUGCUAUAUAAGAAGGGUUUAGUCAAGGGACAUCAUGUUACCUAAAGACUCUUUAAUUACUCCUCUGGUUUUAUUCAUCACUGCAUCCUUAGAGAGUUAGAGUUCAACAAAAAAAAUAUUAUUAUGAGAUUGGAAUGGGUCAUACAAUAAGGUUAUUUUGGUUUAUGACCCCUCCUGAAGUUCACCCAUAUACACCUUUUACAUUUGGUCUCGUUGGGGAUCUAGGCCAAACUUAUGAUUCAAACAAGACCCUUGCUCAGUACGAAUCAAACCCUCACAAAGGGCAAGUUGUGUUAUUUGUGGGAGAUCUCUCUUAUGCAGAUAACAUCCAAAUCGUGAACAUGUUAGAUGUGAUACCUUGGAUUUGGGCUACAAGGAACCACAAAAUUGACUUAUGCUUUUGAGCUUAGUGAAACGAAACCUUUCAAGCCUUUCUGCCACUGUUACCAUGUCCAUUACAAGGCAUCGGGAAGUACUGAACCCUUUUGGUAUUUUGUCAAGAUAGCUUUGGCACACAUUUUAACAUCAAGUUAUUCUUUCCAAAGGAAGUAUAGAAACAUGGAUAUGUGAUUCUUAUCUACUACAAAACAGAAGAUAGAAUUGCAUAUAUUCUUACUAAACCAUUGUCUACUUCCACGUUUGAGUUUUUAAGGUCAAGCAAGACUUGGUGUUUACAACUCUUAAAGUAAGAAGGAGUGUUAGAAAAAUACUUUAAGAUUAUUUUAUUUUUAAUUUAAUUGAGUCAAAAUUUGUUCCUUAUUUUGAGGAUUUGGUUAAUUUUUUAAUUAUGUGUUGGAGUAAUGGAUUAAAAAUUAAGAUAGAAGUGUUAGUAGAUAGUUAUUUUUUCAAGUUUUAAAUAUUACAACGUUCCUCUUUAUUUCACAAUCAAUAAUACAUAAGUAUUUAACUUCAAAUGCUAUUGUUUUUCUUCUAAAAACCAACAAUAACCAUGAAGACAAUUUUUUAACAUUCUUUUUUAUAGAAUUACACGCUCACUCAAUUUUUCUAUAUUUUUAUAUGUAUGUACAUGUACAAUGAUACAAUGGAUUUUGUGGAUGUAGGGCUGAUGCCAAUGAGGUUGUUGUUAUUCUUCUUCCAUCAAAUGUUACUGUUUUUGCUCUUGACUUCUCGGGGUCAGGCUUAUCUGAUAGAGACCAGGUUAGCCUUGGUAGGCAUGAAGUAAGUUUACCUAUGUAUUUAUUUCUUUAAUUAGUUUCCAAAAUUAUAUGUUUAUUGAUAGCAUUAAUUUCUUUUUGGCUAAACAUAUAGUUUAGUCACUCCCUUUAAUGACUAUCUUAAUGCUUUAAAAGCUUCCAGGUUGCACCGAAGACAUUCAUUCUUGUUUUAUUUGGACAUGGUAAUGAUGACCAAUUCAUUCAUGUGUCUAAUAAUAUUGAAAUACUAUUGAAGGUAUUUGCAACACCCCUUGGAAAUAGGAGAGAAAUAUCUGCAGACCCUAAAGAAGAGAAAAAGGGCCAGAAAAAGAAGAAGAAGAAACUUGAAUUGAUUUUCAUUGUGUUUGUGAACAUGAACCACUGGAGAAGAAAAAAGCAGAAUACAGGGAGAAGUUGAAAAACUAAAUAGUUACAAUCCACCGAGAAGCCGAAGAAAAGAGGACAUUUAUUGAGGUCAAAAAAGGGGAAGAUUUCUUGAAGGCAUAAAAGACAACUGCAAAGUAUAGGGCAAUUGGAACAUCCACAAAGAAACUCUUUUAUAUCUCAAGUGAGUAAUUGUCUUAGAUUAGGAAGUUUAAGUAAUAGUUCUAGUUUUUAUACUUUUCCUUUAUUUGAAAAUAAUGUUUAUAUAAUAUUUGAAAAUAAUGUUUAUAUAUAAUAUAUAUAUUUUAAAUGUGAAAUGCUUGGUAUAGUGUUGAAUGAAAGCUAUUGUAGUGAAUGGUUGUGUGUAUAUAUUAUAGGUUUGUUCUGUGGUAUGUGCAGUGUUAAAUGAAAUAACUUUUCAAAACUAGCAACAUUAUUUAUGAAUUUUUCUGUAUAUAAUUGCAUAUAUGUAAUUACAUAUAUGUAAUUACAUAGAGAUUUUUUUGCAUGUAAUUAUAUAUAGAGUUUUUAGCAUGUAAUUACAUAUAGAAAAGUUUAUAUGUAACAUUAUUUACAAUCAUUUUACAUAUAGAUUUUUAUCCGUAUAUAAUCCAUAGAUAAGAUUGUAUUAUUUACAGUUUUAGACUUUAUAUAUGAAUUUUAUUCGUAGAUAAUAGAGUUUUUUCUUUUAGUUCUCAAAAUAAUGUCAUGACCUCGUAAGAGGAUCGCCUAAAGUGUCAUCGAAGUCUUUUGUGAUAUUUAUGUGAAAGAAAAAUAAGUCAAAGAGUAUUUUAAAAAUAAAAAAAUUAUAUGUGCUUAAAAAAACUCUUGAACUGCUUCAUCUAAAUUUAUUUGGUCCUACUGCGUUUAUAAGUGAUAAACGCGAUGGACUGAUUGUAGUGACGACUUUAUAGAUGGCCUUGGGUAAAGUUCUUAAUCCAUAAGAACGAUACUUUUGACACCUUUCAUAAAUUGUAUAAGAAGAUUGAAAAUGUAAAAGGAUGCAAGAUUGUUUCAAUUAAAAGUGACCUCGCGAAUUAGAAAAUGAAUCUUUUCAAAACUUUGCGAAAUAUCUGACACAAAUUAUAUAUAUAUAUAUAUAUAUAUAUAUAUAUAUAUAUAUAUAUAUAUAUAUAUAUAUAUUUUUAUAUUAUUUGAUUCAGUUGUAAAGUUCAAAUAUUUUGUUUUAUAUUGUGUGAGAAAAUAUAAUUUUUAAUUUUUAAAAAGAGAGACUGUUUUGGAAAGUGUAGAAUUUUGGAAAGUAUAGGGUCAAGAUAAACUUCAAAAAAUAGUACGAUAGGUCUAUAAGUAUCCAAAUAUUAUCCUUUCAAUAUGUUGUAGCCGUUUGCCCAUUCUCGUUUAGAAGACAUUUACAUGAAAUGUUUCCGAUAUUAAAGUUCGUUUGAUUUUAUAAUUUUGAUAUUAAAUAUAUAUUAAAUGUUAUUACUUACUUCAUUAUUUUAAAUUUAUAUUUAUAAAAUUUGGAGUGAAUCUUUUAUUUCAUUAAUGAUGACUUAAUUAUAAUUUAAUUGGUAGUAAUUAUAUUUUAUUUUAAUUUUUUUAUAAUUAGAGUUAAUCUUGAUUGAACGUUCAAUCCUCUCUUGACACUUGGUCUCCAAAUACUUUAUGUAGACCAUGGGUUGUUGUCACAUAAAUAAAGACAAUAAUAUAUUAGAAACUUUUUUAUGAUGUGUCAUUAUUUUGUUGGUUCGUAUAUUUAACACAUACCAAUCAUAGACUACUAUAUAAAUUAUUGUAAAAAAAUUGUGAAAAAAAGUGGUUAAAAAAAUAUUUUCCAAAAAAAAAAACACAUAUAACUUCUUUCUUUUAUGUUGCCCAUUCAUCAGAAAAAAAAGAUUUUACAUGACAUAUGUCUUUCUUCUAUGUUUAGUUUUCCUGUCCACUUUCUCUUCUAACAAGUAAAAAGUUAUAUUCUUUCUGCAUUUUUUUUUCUUUUACAAAAGUGUUAUAUUAUUAUGUUCUUUUUUUAAUAAAGAAUAGUUAAUAAUGUUUUGUAGAGUAGUAAUAACGGUACUGACAUAUAUGAAAAAUUCUCUAUAUAUUAUUUAUUUUCAAUUUUUUCAUAAAUGAAGUUACCUAUUGUAAUCCUAAAAUUAAGUUUUAAUCUUAACAGUUAUUUAUUUUUAAUUGUAAUCCGCAUACUAGUUAUUAUUUUUCAGUGGAUACAUCCAUACAGAUAUUGAAAAUGUUUUAAAUAUAUUUUUAUAUGAUUUAAUAAAGUAAUGGUAUAUUUAAUAAUUGGAGCAACAAGAAUUUUCAUGGAAUUAUUCCUUAAAUUAGUGUAAUGCCCAAGAGAUACCUGUCUUGAGAUGCUUGAGUCACUUUUGUUUGUGGGAGAACGUUCCUCAUAACUUUCCUAUAUCUUGUUUCCAAGAGACAUCUUAUUUGAAAAAAAUUCCUAACAACCAUUUGCAUGAUACACGUGUAUAACUACAAAGCCCAUAAAAUAAUUACUACAACAAAUUGUAAAAUUAUAACCGAAAUUUUGUUAUAUUAAAUAUAUUUAUUUAGAAGAUAAACAAUUUGUAAAAUUAACUCAUAAAUAUAGAGUUUACUAAAUUAUGAUACCAAUAUAGAUGCAAAGAGUUAAUUUUUUUCAAAAGUUAAAAGAUGUAAAAUUAUUUUUAAUACUUUUUAUUGAAUGAAUAUUUCCAUUAAUAUUGAAUGAACACAUAUUAAUAAAAAAUGAUUUAUUUAAGUUUAGGUCAGCUGUAUUUUUAAUUGACUCUUCUGUUCAUGCUCUUACAGAAGCUUGACUGGUGACCGAUGAUGAGAUUUGAUGUUGUAAGUUGAAAAAUGUAAUUUAUGAGCCCUGAGCGUACGAUUAAAAUGUAGAGAACGCCUGUCAAUAUGACGAUUCCUACAUAGAAGUGCUUGUACAAGCUUGAUUUUUGUAGAACUAUUCCAAGCGCAGCACAGAAGGCAAUCAUCAUAGACACUAGGGAUAGGGAAAGACACCCAAGCCCUGACAUUAUCUUGGUGGGCAAAUUUUCUAGGAAGUCUCUCGGAGCAUGAUGCCAUGUUUGAACGUCAAUGUAUAUCAAUACUGUAAUGAUAGACGCUAAGAGAGAGAUUACAUCAGCUACAAUAAACACAGUAAACUGUUUUUCCUUUAUCAGAAUCGGUAUUCCAGUGUCUUGAUGGAGACCCCCUGGGACAGUGAAGACUGCAGCGAACAUCACAGUUAUAACAAGACCACUCACAAUUGCAAAUGUCCCAGCUGUUUCCUUUAUCCAUUUUUCUCCAUCUUUCAUCAGCUCCUUGUGCGUUUCAAUAAAUAUCUCUUUAGGCUUCUUACCUUCAUCAUUUUUGGCUUCUCUACAUUUCACAUGCACAACUUCCUCCACCGCCUGCACUCAUUUCAUCCAUGUUAAUGCAUGCAUGGACUAUAUAUUGUACUAGAGAGAUAGAAAACUAACGAAGAUGGAUUCACCUGAAACCAUUGAACUUCUCUUUGCAUUUGCAGAGCAGGAUUCAGAUUAGACAAAGGUCCUAAAUGUGCCGCCAAGUGCAAUAGGUUAUUGCCAAACAUGUCUGUUGUAUAGUUAAUUAUAUCCUUAUUUUCAGAUAGAGUAAGCAUGAAUUGGAACACAUUGUGUUUGCGAUGAAGAACCGCAUACGAGAAUAUGUCUCUUCCAUGAUUGUCCAUUGCCAAUAAGAGGUCAUGGUUAGCCUUCCUCAUAGCAUUUAUGAACUCAACAUUUCCAUGCUUUGCUGCUUCCAACAUGGCAUCAUACACCAAAGCAUCCUGGAGUUGUGAACUAUUCAACUUCCGAACAUUAUCUUUAUAAUACCUUAAUAUUUGUAGAAAUUCAUUCUUGUCUCCAAAUACACUCUCUCUAUUUUUUGAUUUCCGUCCCCAUGAAUCCAUAAUUGAGCAUUGUGAAACUAUGGGAAGGAAAACAAAAUUACUCAUGGUUUAGUUUUAUUAACAAAAAAGAUAUUUAGAAAUUUGAUCAUUUGAACCAACAAACAAUCUCAGAAUUAACUAAUGAAUCUAAAUAGUUACCAUUAGAGUAAUUUUAAAUUGAUUUUUACAUUUUUUUAAGUUGUUUGAUUUCGUAUUUUUUUUUUAAAUUGUAUAUGUUACUAAAUUAUUAGUCUUUAAAUUCAAAAUUGCUUGUUGAAACGCAUAGCAUCAUGUAAUAACAUAAUGAUUUAAGUAUUUUUAUUUUCUUAUAAAGUUAUCCAAUUUUAACUUUAUUCCUCAUAGAAAAGCAUCAGACUUUCAUUUUCAAACAGUUAAUUAUGUUUUUUAGAAUAUUUUUACGUAGCAUUUGUUAUCAACAUAUAUAACAUGUUUAGUAAAAUGGGACCCAACAAUAGCAAGUGGCACCUUUUAAUGUCCAUGAUAUAGUGUAACAAGGUGUUUUCUUUAAAAACAAAUUGUAAAUCUUUAAAAUAAAUAUUAUUUGUGUAGUUUAAAACAAAAUUUAAGAUAAAAAAUAAUUAUUUCAGAUUUUGAAGAAAUUGAGAUUAAGAAAUAUUUUACUAAAUUAAAACAUAAAUUUAUUCAUUUUAUAAAGAUUAAACACAGUACAUACUAAAAACUACAUUUUUAAAUAAUAACCAAUUUUAAAAACAAAAAUAAUUAAUUUAGAUACUAAUUUAUAAACUCAAAAUUAUUAUAUCUAAAAUAAUAUUUAUGAAUAAAAAAUUAUAAUUAAUUUAUAAAUUAAACUAUAAAUUAAUCAUUAAUAUUAGUUAUCAAAAUUUUGACUAGUGUCCAAAUUAGUUUCUAAAUGACUAGUAAAUAAUUUAGACAAUAAGACCUAAUUUAUAUCUAUGAUACUCUCUAAACUUAUAUAUAUAUAUAUAUAUAUAUAUAUAUAUAUAUAUAUAUAUAUAUAUAUAUAUAUAUAUAUAUAUAUACACACACGCACACGUACGUUAUAAAUUGUUUUUAAUCAAUUAGACACUUAUUUCAAAACAGAGAGAUACAUUGAUUAUUUAAAAUUGAUGAUUUUAAUUUAACUUUCCAAAUUAAUGCUUUUACACGUCAAGAUUCAUUUAAAUCACUUAUAGAUGCAUGUUUACAUAUGUAUGGAUCUUAUGUAAAUAUGUGAUAAACGCAACAAUCAAAGGACAAAUCUAUACUUACCCUUCAAAUUUCCAAACAAUAUUGUCCAAAUAAAUUCGAGUAUAUUACCUGAAAGAACCAUAAGAAGAAGUUUAAGUCAGUCGCAUAUCUUUUGUGCUUAAUAAUUAAGCGUUGUUGUCAUAAACUAUUCUUCAACCAUAUGUUUCCUUUAUCUCGUUUAGGGAUUUGUUUUAAGUCUUAAUUUAUUAAUUUCAUUCUUCAACUCCACUUUCAAUAUUUUUUUUUUAAGAAUUUUAUCAACACAUAAAGCAAUCUUAUAUCACCAUAUCAAUUUCUAAUAAAUCUCUUUUCUGAAAUUAAUAUAUUAUUUUUAUAAUAUUUUUAACUAAUACAAAUUUUCAUCAAAUUUAUUUAUUUUAUCUAUGCUUUUCACUCAUUUAAGUAAUUGAAGAUAACACCUUUACCUUUUUUUAUUAUUAUUAUUUUCCAUCUAUUUUGAAAACACGUUUUCUCUACUAUAAUUUUAUUUGAAUUUCUCCUUUACAAGUAUUUUAGAUUAUGUAUUAAGUAUAUAUUUUAGAUUCCGUAUUCGAAUGCAUAAAACUGAUCUCAUCGUUAUUCAAUUAUAAUUUUCACCAUUUUUAUUUAUUGAUAAAUAAUGUUUCAUCAGUUAUUAAAGAGGUAAUUUUUAACCCAUCACAGAUUGACACAUAAAUUCGAAUGUUGUCAAAAAAUGUUGUCUAAAUAUCAUUAUCCAUUAUGAAAAGUAAAAAUUAUAUGGAUUGAAUGCUUCUUCCAAAAAAAAAAAUAAACAUAAUUGAGUGGCUAAUUAAUUCAAGAGAAAGCAUAGGUAAAAAAGAAGAAAAUCUUACCAUCUAUCUUUAUUAAGUCCCAAAAACUGGGAUAUAAAUGUGCAGCUGGCAUUCGAGCCAAUUGGUGCAAGACGCCUAGGCAUUCAAUGGGCAGUUCCUCAUAAUUAAGCAAUUUCAAAACUACAUCUGCGAGUUCAAACCAUGCAACUAUUUCAGAAUUAACUUCUUUUCUUAAACAUGCUAUCAACUGCAAACUAAUAUUCCAAAUAUAUAUAUAUAUAUAUUAGGUAAAUCAAAGAAGCAUUGAAUUGAGGGUUUGGAGUAGAGAAUGAAGGAAAUAGCAUAUGGAUAUACUGUGGUUCAUUUGCUUACCUAAUAUAUACGCUUGGAUGCAUCGUUCCAGCAGCAAAACUCGAUUGUCUUUGAUGACAUGAGAAGGAGUUUUAAGGAAAAGGUAACGAGUCAUUCUUUUGCGUCCUGAAUUAGCAGCCAUAAGAAGAGGGAUCUCACCCUCUUUGUUCUCUAUACCAAGCACUUCUUCGCCACCUUCCACAUUUACCAUACUUC